rnacentral:rRNA from 1 species
GGGUGGUAAUACCGGAUGCUCCGCUCCAUCGCAUGGUGGGGUGGGAAAUGCUUUUGCGGCAUGGGAUGGGGUCGCGUCCUAUCAGCUUGUUGGCGGGGUGAUGGCCCACCAAGGCGUUGACGGGUAGCCGGCCUGAGAGGGUGACCGGCCACAUUGGGACUGAGAUACGGCCCAGACUCCUACGGGAGGCAGCAGUGGGGAAUAUUGCACAAUGGGCGCAAGCCUGAUGCAGCGACGCCGCGUGCGGGAUGGAGGCCUUCGGGUUGUAAACCGCUUUUGUUCAAGGGCAAGGCACGGUUUCGGCCGUGUUGAGUGGAUUGUUCGAAUAAGCACCGGCUAACUACGUGCCAGCAGCCGCGGUAAUACGUAGGGUGCGAGCGUUAUCCGGAUUUAUUGGGCGUAAAGGGCUCGUAGGCGGUUCGUCGCGUCCGGUGUGAAAGUCCAUCGCCUAACGGUGGAUCUGCGCCGGGUACGGGCGGGCUGGAGUGCGGUAGGGGAGACUGGAAUUCCCGGUGUAACGGUGGAAUGUGUAGAUAUCGAAAAA